UGAUCAUAGAGCAUCCUGCCUACUUCUU
rnacentral:piRNA from 1 species